GAAAUACAACAGCAAAAUUCUACACAGAGGAAAAAGAUUUUCUUGAGAUUCUAAUGGAGAAAAUGGGUACAGCGGAAUCAGAACUAGAUGAAUUGUUUGGACAGAAGAAACGUGUGAAGAACCCUCUUGUUCCAAUGGGUGCACAACUUAUGAAAGUUAUGCUGCAUAUACUAUCAAGUGCAUAUAUAUACACUUUGUUUGUGUUUGUGUUCGAGAUUGAAAUAUAAGAUCUGAUAUGGGUCUGUCUUUCAAGGUUCUUUGGUUAAAUUUAUUACUUGAAACUUCAUCCACUGGAAAUAUUGUUUGUACAAAGGAAAGUAGACUAAAAUCUUUUGUCCAUUUAGUUAAUUUGAUAGAUUUUCAGGUGCGCUUAUGACUGCGGGGGUGCUUACCGCUGGGUUAAUUAGUUUCAGACAAGGGAAUUCUAACUUGGGCCAGAAGCUAAUGCGAGCUCCUGUAGUUGCUCAGGGAGCUACAGUUGCACUUAUGGUUGGUACUGCUUAUUACUAUGGCGAAACUUUCACCCGUAAAGACACUUGGCCUCAAGUGAAAAUAUCUUCUUUACAGUGUUCAUUUGUUCUUUCAUUCAGUAUUCAUUUUUCCACCCUGUGUUUUGUACAAAACUAAACAACCUUAUCUGAUUGAUUGAUCAAUAAGAAAGAUAUACUGUAUCAUACUUUUUUCUGAAGAAAGUUGUAAUUUCCAGGACAUACAAUUCUGUGUUAGAUGUUGAAGUGUACUGAGUCGGGAUUUUUGUAAAAAAUUACUAGUUGUAUGGUGCACCUAAAAGUAAAAUAAAAUAUGUUUGCAGCAA